UUGUCCAGAAUGGCAGUGAAAACAGGACCAGUGGUGGGUGCACGGAGGACAAGGCCUUGGAUGGACACGGGAGCAUUCCCUCUCUCAGCAGGUACUCUGCAGGUGACAGAGGCCUCAACCUACACCCUAGAGGUGGCUUAUCUAGUGUGGUAGACACCACAGCUCAGGUGGUCAGCUGUGUCUGAACCACAUCCUCAAAUGGAAAACUAAAACCCAGGGGCAGGGGCUCCAGCCUGGUCCCUGCGCCUGCAGGAGCCAAGAUGGGCAGCACCAGGCCAGUCUGGAAGUAUUUAUGGAAGUUCUUUGUGAAAAUGCCAGCGGAUCCCAGCAAUACUGAGAGAAAACAGCAAAGGGGUCUGUGUCUCCUCCUGGGCUCAAGCCCCAAACCUAUGCAUCCUUCAGAACUCAGCACAAAUGCCGCCUGUUCCGGGAAGCCUUCCCUGAUCUCCAAAUGAAGCUCUCUUCUCCCAAAGGACUUUUUCCACACUGAGCUCAGGAACAUUGUCACGUUCUUCCUGGCAGCAUGUAAACCUGGCUAGACUUGGAGCUCCACAGGACAGAGGCCAGGACUUACUCGUCAGUCCGUUACUAGAGCCCCAUAGCUAAUUGUGGCAUUAACUGAGACUGACGGAGAGGAAAGGUUCACGAUGGAGCUGCACAAGGGGUGGGGUGUCAACAGGAGACUCGGGGGAGCGCCUGCUUACAACCUGAAAUCUAUAUUGUACUUGAGAACCAAAUAGAAAAGAAGAAGCCUGUUUCUCCAGAGUCCUGGAGGACUGAGAAGGUGCCUAUAGCUCCUGGGUUCCCACCACCCCCCAUCCCGAGAAGAUUUGUUCCUUUAAAAUUGCCCAGGAAGCCCCAGCUGAAGGAGACAGAGAGAAGCAACCCUCAGCCUCCACUGAAGGGCUCCGACGGCUGAGCUGGAGCCCUGGGAAAUGGCACCCACAGAGCACACUGUCCUGAGGACUAACCACCUCCUCCGCCCCGCCCCCUGAAGACAAGAGCAGGCCCUGCCUGCCUGCCCAGCCAGCGCAGGUCUUUAUGGGCCCUAGUCCAGGGGGGCUUUGAAAGACCAACAAAUACAACAGCAAAGGUUACUCCUUCCUGACUUACAAGAACCCAGUAAGAUAACAGUAUGGUACUCUGCCACCAGCUCCUGGCCCUUGGAACCAGCCACUGCAGCUCAAGCCACCCUUUGGCCAUGUGGGCCAUCUCGCUGGCCUACCCACUCCUCCCUGGGGACUCUGGAGCCUGUCUCCACCCAGGCCAACCAUCUGGAGCUGCGGGGGGAGCGAAGGCUCUCGCCCACCUACCCACAGCCAUCAAUCACCACAAAGCAGAACAGAAGGAACAGCAGGGCAGCUUCUCAAAGCAGCGAGAUUGUUCCCAGAGCCUGAGGCAGAAUCUGGCAUUAAACUGGCGUCCUGUAGAGGGAAGGCUGGGGCCCGCUAGGGGAGGAGGAGUGUGGAGUGGGACAGUGGGCUGUGGGAGCCAUCCACCCCCAAGCUCCAGAAGCUGGGCCAACCCAGUGGCAGAGUAGCAGAGUGUGCUGGAGGUCCCAGAGCCCUCAGCCCUCCAGAGGAUUCCCGGUCCCACCUGGAUGCCCAGUCCAAUGAAAUGCUGCUAAGCCAGAGUGCACCCCGCCCCCAGUCCCUCCUGCCAUCUUCCAUUCUCUGCUUGGUUUUGAUGACAUUUCUUCCCUUGUAAUGAUACUCAGGGGCUCCUUAUUUCUACCAUAUCAAAUUCACACCUGAACUUCCAUUUCAACCCCUAGAUAGUCCAGGCUGCUGGCCCACCCCUGGGCCCAUCCAAGCUCACACGCUUGCCACCCCAGACCAUUCACCCCCUGCCCCAGGCCCUCUGUCUCGCAUCUGAUGGGGUCUGGCCUUUCCUUCUCUCCAGACUCGACUCAGAACUGCCCUCUGGAAGCCCUCGCUGGCUAACCCAGGCCUGCAGCAAGAGCCCGUCAUCCUCUGGGCUCUAAGGGCUUCAGUGCAGACUCUGUGGGGUGCUGCAGGGUGUGAAAAGGGCUGCUUGUCAUGCACUGUCCUUUACAUCAGACCUGGCAUAUGGAUGGCAGUCAGUGGCAGCAGCCUCCUCCUGGGACAUCGUCGUGCCCCUAUGGAAACGCAUGCUCAACCAGGCCUGUGGAGCAGCCUCGUUCCGCCUCCUGGGGAUGGCCUGUCGUGCUGCCAGGAGCUCCCAAGUGUGGGUCCUGGACCGCUUCUCCCUUUAGACCUCUCCCCUUCACUCUUGUCCUGGGACCUCAGUCACAGCACGUGGAUUCAGCUAUAGCAGAGGGAUUGCCCUAAUUGGACCUAGGGAAGGAGCCGGACCAGCAGGUCAAGAAACCCAGCUGCCCCAUGACCUCAGCAAACCCCUGAAUGUUCUCAGGUCUUGGUUUUUUCAUCAUUCAAAUGGGGAUGAAGGUUUGUCCUUCAUCAAAGGGUUAUGGCAAGAAUUGAAUGAGAAAAUGAUAAGUACAGAAAGCUAUGUAAAUGUUAGGUAUCUCUGCAGCUUAAACUGGACUGGAGGUGGGGUGCACUCUGGCUUAAGCUGGCUUAAUUGUUAAAGCAAAGUAUUACCAGAGUGUGUGACUUCCUUGGGCUGCCCUCCACAGCCCCGUUUUGGGGAGUCCUCUGACCCAGCCCCCUAAGCCCUCGCCCUGCUUUCCUUCCUCUGACCAGCGGAGGGACAAAGCUGCUCCCCUGAGUGCCCCUUGAGAACAGCAGCUCAUUAUCUGUGACGGGUCCCCCUGAGCAGCACCAUCACCUGAAUUCAGUCCCUGGCCUCUCCUUCAGCUCCCCAGCUGCCUUGGCGGCAGGAACAAGAGUGUGCCUUGUCAGACAAGCCUCGCAUCUCAGUAGAACAUGCUCUAGGCAUAAUUACUCAUCAGAGAGGUGCGCAGGCCCCACCCUUAUCACAGAGCUGCUGCCACCUCUGUAUUGUCACUGCUGCAGCAGCUGAAGGCUGCUGCCUUGGACCGAGGAAGCAGGAACAGUUCUGUAGGUAAGAAGGGCCAGGUACGGCUAGACCUCAGAGAGGACCCACAGGCUCUGGCUGUGAGUAGCUGGGAGGCUUCCAGCCGGAACCUAGGGAGCACAGAUUCCACAACCCAAAUAAAUGCUGACCCUGACUUCUCUCCUCCUUUCCAUCAUCUUCUAGAAGCCCCCAUCUGCCUGUUUCAGGGCCCCCUCUGUACCUAAUCCCUGCACUCCCCAUCCCCUGUCUCGAACUCCCCUGCUCUGGCACCUUUUCUUGGUUUUGUCUGCCCUGCCCUGCUCCACUAACCCAGAGUCUCAAGAGUGACCUGUAGGGACUUCAGGCAUGGAGCCAGCAGCAACCUGGGCAUGUGCUUAGAGAUGCAGACAGGCAGUUAGGGCCCCACAGCCAGAGAGCUGCCCUCCCACGCAGUCCCCCUCACCCACACACCUUCUCAGGAACACCACCUCCAAGUAACCCUGGAGGAAAUGCAUUUUCCUGCUCCCGCCAUGCUUCUCCAGGCUGCUGACACAAUUAACCUCCCCCCCUGCCCCUCUCCCUCCCACCUUCAGAGUACUUCCCACAAGGGAAAUGAUCUAGGCCCCUGGGUCCAGCAAAGGUCUGCAUCCUCCACUAUCUCCAGAUAGUGACUGUUUCAAGAAAAAAUGGGGAAACUGAGGCCUAAGCUAGGCACCUGACCUCUCCAACUUGCUUCCUGGAUCCCUGGGGGGCUGGCCUCCUUGCUGGGCCAUCAGAGGCAGCAGAGUAGCCUGAAAGGCUUGGCUGUUUGUCCUUCUAGGAGUCUCACUGCUGUGGGGAGCAGAGGCUCUGAAGGAGGGGGUUCUGUUCUCCUUUUUACUAUGUGGAGCGACUUUCAGGGAAAGACCAAGUCAACCUCCUUCCUCCCCAGCGCACCUCUUCACACCCACUCUCUGCCAGCCUGGGUCUCAGACCAGGGCUUGUGGAGAUCAUGUUUCUCCAACCAGCUCUCUGCCCUUUCUGUCCCCAGGAUAUUCGGCCUAGUGCCAUCUCAAGGCUUUCAGGGGAUUAUGCCUGAAAUUUAGCUUCACAUCAAGACUCCAAUCAGACCCUCUGUUUAGCCUUCAAGGACAUCUAAACCAAGGGCCACGGGUCCUUGCUCAGAACCCUGGAAUCCUGAGCUUUAUCCCAGCCUUCCUUCACUGGAGCACAGUCCCUGGGGGAGUGACAGCUGGUGUGGACAGGAUACAUUGAGAUGAACGAGCAGUGAUUAGCCUGACAUCAGUAUUUCUUAAAGGCCCAUUCUCUCGAAAGCUGGCACGUCCCUCCAGGCCUCCACCUUCCCUGAACCAGGCAGAGUCCCCAGAAGCUCUAAGCUUCCCUCUCUCUCCUUCCCUGACUGGCCUGGCUAUAUUAGCCAGAUGGAUUAUGUUUUAUUUCUCUUAGAUUUGGCUGCAGGAACCAAAUAGCAUUUAAGGCCAUUGAUUGUUCAAAAGGCCAAGUGUAUAAUGUACCAGAAAAUUAGUUUGAAGUGCCUAGCAGGGGAACAGCUCAGCUCUGGCCUCAGAUUUAUUCUGCUCUUGUGGGCCGGGAGGGGCUGGGAUGGCGAAAUGUUCAGUCUUUUCGGAGUUUCUGGGUAUCUAUCUACUCUUUGGCCCAAGCUGGGGCCUCCCUAUCAGCUAGUUUACACAGGUGGGCUGCAUUACAGCAACGUCCCAUCUUUGGUCCAGCUCUCUCCUUCCCUCCCGCCCACCGUCCCUCCCAUGUCUCUCUCACACACACACACAGAGUACACUCACAUUACACACGCAGUAGUAGAACAACUGCCCACAUGUAUGUGUGCAGGUACCAGAGACAGCCCGAUGUCUAUAAUGCCACCCACACUCUCACCUGUGUACAAAUGAGACUCUGAGAAUCUGGAUAAAAAGCUUUCCUUUUGCCUGAAGAAUCUGAUACAUCAAAGAGUGUUUGACACACAAAACAGAUGAUCACCGAUGUCCAUUGGACCAGGCAAAUGGCUUCUUGGCUCAUGGACACAGGACCAUGGACAGCUCCCACCUGCUCCUCUCCUCUCCCCUCCCUCUGAAAUUGUCCAGUUCACCUGACCAAAAAACAGUUCCAGUUUACAGCCAACCAGAGUGGCUUAGAAGUUGACGAUUACAAUACAAAGUUUCAAAUGUCUGUUAUGCACCCGUCA